rnacentral:lncRNA from 1 species
UGGCUGUGUGGAUCCACUAAACUGAUAUUGUGUCCAAAGGACUAAGGGUGUCAAGCCUAAACUGACGGGUGGCCCCUGGAAGAUAGUCAAGCCUAAUCUGAUGGGUGACUACUCAUAUCCUACGCUGGAUAUGCAGUUCUGGAGUAUAGGGACUUCUACUAACAACUCUGCCUAUCUGACGGAGAAACUGCCAUCCCUACACUCGCUC